UACAGAGGUCCCAAGCGUUGUUCGGAUUCACUGGGCGUAAAGGGUGCGUAGGUGGCAGUGUAAGUCUGAUGUGAAAGCUUCGAGCUUAACUCGAAAAUGGCAUUGGAUACUAUAUUGCUGGAGGUUUGGAGGGGGGACUGGAAUUCUCGGUGUAGCAGUGAAAUGCGUAGAUAUCGAGAGGAACACCGGUGGCGAAGGCGAGUCCCUGGACAACACCUGACACUGGAGGCACGAAAGCGUGGGGAGCAAACAGG
rnacentral:rRNA from 1 species